UACGUAGGGGGCAAGCGUUGUCCGGAAUCAUUGGGCGUAAAGAGCGUGUAGGCGGCCCGGUAAGUCCGCUGUGAAAGUCCAGGGCUCAACCCUGGAAUGCCGGUGGAAACUGUCGGGCUAGAGUCCGGAAGAGGCGAGUGGAAUUCCUGGUGUAGCGGUGAAAUGCGCAGAUAUCAGGAGGAACACCGAUGGCGAAGGCAGCGCGCUGGGACGGUACUGACGCUGAGACGCGAAAGCGUGGGGAGCAAACAGG
rnacentral:rRNA from 1 species